rnacentral:lncRNA from 1 species
CCAACAUCCAACGGCUUUUCCCAUUCAACCAACCAAGAUUCCCAAAAACCAUCGUUCAUAAGUGCAUUAAAAACUAGGGCUAGAGGGACGCGGUUCGGCCAAAGCCUACAUAAGUAACCAAAUAGGAAGUGGCCCCCCCAAUGUGAAUUAACCAAGCAGAGUCACUCCUACAACUGUUAGAAAGUGAUCACCCAAUGCGGAUUAACCAAGCAUGAUCACUCUUAAGCAUACAUGACCAUAAGGAUCGCCCAACGCGGAUUAACCAAGCGCGAUCCAUAU